rnacentral:rRNA from 1 species
AUGGCUCAGGACGAACGCUGGCGGCGUGCCUAACACAUGCAAGUCGAGCGGGGACAUUGCGACGGAGACGAAGUACUCGUACGGAGUCAAAGAUGUAAUGGUUCUAGCGGCGGACGGGUGAGUAACGCGUGAGCAACCUGUCCCUUACAGGGGGAUAACACAGCGAAAGUUGUACUAAUACCGCAUAAGACCACAGGAUGACAUCGUCCAGGGGUCAAAGGAGCAAUCCGGUAAGGGGUGGGCUCGCGUCCGAUUAGAUAGUUGGUGAGGUAACGGCCCACCAAGUCGACGAUCGGUAGCCGACCUGAGAGGGUGAUCGGCCACAUUGGGACUGAGACACGGCCCAAACUCCUACGGGAGGCAGCAGUGGGGAAUAUUGGCAAUGGGGGAAACCCUGACCCAGCAACGCCGCGUGAGGGAAGAAGGUUUUCGGAUCGUAAACCUCUGUCCCAGGUGAAGAGGAAGAGACGGUAGCCUGGGAGGAAGCCCCGGCUAACUACGUGCCAGCAGCAGC